rnacentral:rRNA from 1 species
AUUGAACGCUGGCGGGAUGCCUUACACAUGCAAGUCGAACGGCAGCACGGGAGCAAUCCUGGUGGCGAGUGGCGAACGGGUGAGUAAAGUAUCGGAACGUGCCCAGUCGUGGGGGAUGACGUAGCGAAAGUUACGCUAAUACCGCAUACGAUCUAUGGAUGAAAGCGGGGGAUCGCAAGACCUCGCGCGAUUGGAGCGGCCGAUAUCAGAUUAGGUAGUUGGUGGGGUAAAGGCUCACCAAGCCGACGAUCUGUAGCUGGUCUGAGAGGACGACCAGCCACACUGGGACUGAGACACGGCCCAGACUCCUACGGGAGGCAGCAGUGGGGAAUUUUGGACAAUGGGCGAAGGCCUGAUCCAGCCAUGCCGCGUGCAGGAUGAAGGCCUUCGGGUUGUAAACUGCUUUUGUACGGAACGAAAAGGUUUGGCCUAAUAAGCUGAGCUCAUGACGGUACCGUAAGAAUAAGCACCGGCUAACUACGUGCCAGCCGCCGCCGUAACAC